ensembl:lncRNA
AUGGUACGUUUGCAGCACUUGAAGAAGAAGCUGAAGUCAAAUCAACAGUAUUGUGAUCAUUAUAAGGCCUUCAUGGAAGAAAUGUUCAGCAAGGGAGAUGCAGAGAUGGCUCCUGUUACAUCUGAUGAAGGAACAGUGUGGUAUAUACCCCAUCAUGGCGUUUACCACCCUCACAAGCCAGACAAGUUGAGGGUGGUAUUUGAUUGCUCUGCAAAAUUUUGUGGUAUUUCUCUUAAUGACACUCUUCUCACUGGUCCAGAUUUGAUCAAUUCUCUGGUGGGAGUACUUUGCCAGUUCAGGAAGGAAGCUGUUGCCGUGACAUGUGAUAUCAAAAAGAUGUUCCAUCAAUUUCAUGUUCCUCCCGAUAAUAGAAAUUACUUGCGAUUCUUAUGGUGGGAAAACGGAGAUCUGGAAAGAGAACCCAAAGAAUAUAGAAUGACUGUACACCUUUUCGGCGCCGCUUCAUCUCCUGGAUGUGCCAACUUUGGCCUUAAAUACCUUGCAGAGCAGUAUAAGUCUGAGUAUCCCACAGCUUCGUCAUUCGUGAAGAAAAACUUUUAUGUUGAUGACGGCUUGACUUCUGUUCCAUUGAUAGAGGAAGCGAAGGAAUUGAUUGUCAAUGCUCAAACUCUGUGUAAGCAUGGAGGGUUACGCCUCCAUAAGUUUAAUUCAAAUGAGAAUGAAGUUCUUCAGAGUGUGAAUUCCACAGAGUGGGCAAUAACUACUAAACCUCUUAACCUGACUCCUGAAAUAACUGGAUACGUUCUUGGCAUUCAGUGGUCUACGAAAGAUGACACUUUCGGGUUUGACAUCAAACUGAAAGACCAGCCUGGAACACGUCGGGGUAUUUUGUCAAUUGUUGCUUCCUUGUUCGACCCUAUUGGGUUUGUUGCUCCUUUCCUGUUGAAAGGAAAGUGCAUUUUACAGGAGUUGUGCCGUAGAAAUAUUGGAUGGGACGAUCCUCUUCCUGAUGACUUAUUCCUACGGUGGGAGGAGUGGAAAAGUAGUUUUCAGGACUUGAAAGAUUUCAGCAUUCAAAGAUGCUAUCAUCCGCCAUCCUUUAGUAAAAUUGUCUGGACAGAACUGCACCAUUUCUCUGAUGCAAGUAACCUGGGAUAUGGUGCAUGUUCCUAUCUUAGGUUCAAGAAUGACAAAGAUGAAGUACACUGUAGUCUCGUAAUGGCCAAAGCUCGAGUUGCACCCACAAAAAUCAAGAGCAUUCCGAGACUGGAAUUGUCUGCAGCUGUAGUUUCAGCCAGAAUGAGUGUUAUGUUAAAGGCUGAACUGGAACUGAAGAUUGAUCAAGAGUUCUUUUGGACUGAUUCACAGGUUGUUCUAGCAUGUGUCAACAAUGAAGCCAGAAGGUUUCAUGUGUUUGUUGCAAAUCGUGUGCAACUAAUCCGGGAAAUCACAAGUACACAUCAGUGGUAUUAUGUCAAUACAUCUGAAAAUCCUGCUGAUCAUGUUUCGAGAGGUCUCCUUGUCUCAGACAUAUCUUCAACAAAUUGGAUGUCAGCACCCAAAUUUUUAUGGGAACAAGAAGUGUGUCCACCUCCUAAUUCCUCAAAUAAUCUACUCGUGGGAGAUCCUGAAGUCAGACUGGUUCAAGCAUUAGUGACGAAGGGUGGUGUUAGUUCUAACUUUCUUGAACGAUUUAAUCACCUUUCUUCCUGGAGAACUCUCAUUAAUGUGAUUGCUAGAAUAAAAAGGCUGGCCUCUAGUCAAAAAUAUCUUCAUGACAUUGUGACUGUGGAAGAACAAGAAAAGGCAUCUGAGGUUGUUAUCAAGCUUGUUCAACAACAGGCUUUUUCCCAAGAGAUAAAAGCAAUUCAAGGAGGGAAGGUUCUUCAGAAAUCAAGUGCACUUUUUCAUCUCGAUCCUAUUUUGAAAAGUGGUCUUUUUCAAGUUGGAGGAAGAUUGAAACAGUCGUCUCUUAGUGAAGAGUUCAAGCAUCCAGUGAUCUUGCCGAAAGACAGCCACAUCACCAAACUCAUUUUGACACAUUACCAUGCUAAAAUUUGUCAUCAAGGGAGGUAUCAAACACUCAUGGAACUCAGAGCAAAUGGGUUUUGGGUUAUCGGUGGCAGCAGAUCAGUAUCUAAAUUGAUAUACAAAUGUGUACAAUGUAGGAAGCUAAGACGGCCAGUAGAGGAGCAGCAAAUGGCUGAGCUUCCUAAAGAACGGAUUGAAGUCUCUGCCCCUUUCUGUUACACUGGUAUGGACUGUUUUGGCCCGUUUAUCAUAAAGAAGGGUCGAAAGGAGUAUAAAAGAUAUGGUCUUCUCUUUACUUGCCUUUCUUCUCGAGCUGUUCAUAUCGAGAUGUUGGAAGAUUUGUCAAGAGACAUGUUCAUUAAUGCUCUAAGAUGUUUCCUAAGCCUCCGUGGAGCUGUACGUCAACUUUAUUGUGAUUGUGGUACAAAUUUUGUGGGAGCCAGAAAUGAACUUCGAGAAGCUUUAAAGAAUGUGAUGCAAAGACACUGGAGGUAUUUCUUGUGGAAAAUCAGUGCGAGUUUGUUUUUAAUGCUGCUUCAGCUAGUCACUCUGGUGGUGUCUGGGAACGCCAAAUCAGGACUGUGCGAAAUGUGCUAA